rnacentral:misc_RNA from 1 species
GAUGAAGAACGCAGCGAAAUGCGAUACUUGGUGUGAAUUGCAGAAUCCCGUGAACCAUCGAGUCUUUGAACGCAAGUUGCGCCCGAAGCCAUUAGGCCGAGGGCACGCCUGCCUGGGCGUCACACGUCGUUGCCCCCCCAUCUAAUCCUUCGGGAUUGCGGGGGGCGGAUGAUGGCCUCCCGUGCGCCUCGUCGCGCGGUUGGCAUAAAUGCCAAGUCCUCGGCGACGCACGCCACGACAAUCGGUGGUUGCGAAACCUCGGUUGCCCGUUGUGUGCGGUCGUCGCGCAUCGAGGGCUCGAAAAAAUUGCCGGGCUCCGGCUCGGCUUUCAACGCGACCCCAGGUCAGGCGGGGUUACCCGCUGAAUUUAAGCAUAUCAAUAAGCGGAGGA